GUGCGCGACAGCUGGCGUACGGUAUGCCUUGCCUUCGCGGGUGUCGCUCCGAACUUGGUGGUAGACUAUCGAAAGAGGAAGGGCUCCUGCGCGUUGAAGGACAUCGGGGUGGAGGACACCCGGGACGGUGCUGGGAUUGAGUGCAACGAAGUUCCACAGCCUGGCGUAGUGGUGGGCGACAUGGCGCCAAUACCUGCAGACGUGCG
rnacentral:misc_RNA from 1 species